AAGUCGUAACAAGGUUUCCGUAGGUGAACCUGCGGAAGGAUCAUUAUUGAAGUCUGGGUCUUUGAGCCAACCUCUUCUACACACUUGUGCACUUACCCUGUUGCUUUGGCAAGUUCUGUUUGGUUUCCUUGUGAGCCAGGUAGUUAAGUCGUUCAGACGCUUGCCAAAGAUUUCUUACACCUUUAUAAUUUAGUCUGAUUAUUGUUUUUUACAAACGUAAUAAAA
rnacentral:misc_RNA from 1 species